AUUGAACGCUGGCGGCAUGCCUUACACAUGCAAGUCGAACGGCAGCGCGGGAGCAAUCCUGGCGGCGAGUGGCGAACGGGUGAGUAAUAUAUCGGAACGUGCCCAGUAGUGGGGGAUAGCCCGGCGAAAGCCGGAUUAAUACCGCAUGAGACCUGAGGGUGAAAGCGGGGGAUCGCAAGACCUCGCGCUACUGGAGCGGCCGAUAUCAGAUUAGCUAGUUGGUGGGGUAAAGGCCUACCAAGGCAACGAUCUGUAGUUGGUCUGAGAGGACG
rnacentral:rRNA from 1 species